rfam:Myotis davidii contig204155, whole genome shotgun sequence.
GGUGGUUCUUGGGUGACGGACCCAGAAUCAGGCUCCCUCCUCUCUGGUUCUGGGUGCAUCACCUGAGAACUGCA